CAACCAACAAUGAACACAAAAGGACCCUCAGAAGAUUCCUGGGUGAAAGGUUCAGGCGCCAUCCCUUGGGCACGGUGGUGCUGAUUCUGCUGCUCCUGGUGCUGGUGCUGGCUUUGGGGGCGGCCUUGGCUGUGCAGUCAGCAGCCACAGGUUCCAGUCACACCUGCGACACCACUGUUGGUUCUGGGCUGUCCCUUUGACUGGAUUGGGCACAAGGGGGUCUGCUACUACUUCUCAAGGGAUUACAGCACCUGGGAUCAGGGUCAAGAACAGUGCUCCGAGCUUCGGGGCCUCCCCUGGCCAUUGCCCAGGAUGAGGAGGCCAUGGAUUUGCUCUUCCGCCUCCGGAACCGCCCGAGCGAUUUCUGGCUCGGGCUGGCGCCCAGACGGGCGGCGCCUGCACUGGGGGGACGGCAGCAGCUACAGCUCCCGGGUUCCCGUCUUUGGCAAUUCCCAGUGUGUGUACCUGGCUGACAAGAGAUUGAGGAGUGAGAACUGCUCCAGUGAGCGGCCGUAUCUCUGCAGCAAGGCCCAAGCUCCCCUGUAACAGGGGCUGCACAAAGCACCUUCUCCACGCUGGGCAGUGCCAGCUUCACCUCUGAGCCCAGCACGGGGCUGUCCUUCCUCAGCUGCACCCUGUGCCUUGCACUUCCUCUCAGGCUCACCUCAGGGCCUCUUCAUCCCCAGUGCCAGCGCUGGGCUGGGGCUGCAAAGGAAAAGUCUCUGCAAUCCAUCCUGCCCCCGAUGCUGCCUGCAGUGAGUGCAUUGCCCUCAGGACACAACAA